GUGAAUCAUCAAAUUUUUGAACGCAAAUUGCGCCUUUUUCGAAUGGCAUGUCUGUUUGUGGGCACCAUUUAACAAAUAUUGUGUAGCGGUUUUUGUUGCACACGUUGAUGAGCUUUCCAAGAAUUUUAAAUUUUUGGUGGCGCAUAAUGAACAGCGUGAAGCUUUUUUUUCAGUUUGUGUGUAGUAAAAUCUUUGUUUGGGUUGUGAAACGCGUGAUCGCGCAAUGGGUGUGGCGAUUAUACUAAUACUGCCUCAACGCCACUCUUUCUCACGUAAGACUGU
rnacentral:misc_RNA from 1 species